rnacentral:sRNA from 1 species
AUUAAUAAAAUAUUGCAGUCCCAACAUUAUUAAUUUAUAGAGGUUUUACUGUAUAUGUAUUUGUUGUAACUCACGG